CUUUAGAAUGGUUUUUGUUCAAAUGAAUGUUGUCAUCGCAACAUUAAUAGAAUGAAACAUUUUGAAAAGUGCUUGCAGGAUUUACAUACACUUUGCUGUGGAUUACAGAGGAGAAAAAGAGAGGAGAGGAAAGAAAAGGAAAAAAAGAUUAUUCCCUAAGGAGCAACAGGAACUGAAGGAGGAGCAGGAGCGGCUGGAGAAGCGACCGGAGAAGCAGGACCUGCCGGACGAGCAUGAGCAGCAUUCUUCACCUGAUGGAAGAGACAGGAGCAGCAGCCAUCAUUAAUAAAUGCAACAUCAUAUCAAAAUAAUAAAAUCAAUCAGUGUCAUUCAUAAA